AAGCUCGUAGUUGAAUUUCGGGAUUAGUACGUCGGUCGUGCCUUAGGUACGUACUGGUAUUACUGGUUCCUACCUUCUGACGAACCAUCAUGUCAUUAAUUUGGUAUGGUGGGGAAUCAGGACUGUUACUUUGAAAAAAUUAGAGUGUUUAAAGCAGGCUCGCGCUUGAAUACAUUAGCAUGGAAUAAUGAAAUAGGACGUUCGAUCUUAUUUUGUUUGGUUUCUUAGGAUUGACGUAAUGAUUAUAGGGAUAGUUGGG
rnacentral:rRNA from 1 species